CAACACUCAAGCUCUGCUUGGUAUUGGGCCCUGCCAGCAACGGCAGGCCUUAAAAUCAGUGGCGGCGCCAUCUGGCUCUAAGCGUAGUAAUACUCCUCGCUACAGAGUCCUGGUGGAUGCUUGCCAGCAACCCCCAACUUUCUAA
rnacentral:misc_RNA from 1 species